UCAGUGAAGUUCCAUACUUCCUGAAUACCUCUGAUCAUGUUAUAGAAGAAAGUUUUUUGCCAUGGGGCGACAGUGGUGAGGACGUUUUAAUUCCCCAAAUGGGAAGUUCUUUUGCGGGGGAAGCCAGACACCAUGCUACGAGGAUGCUCAAGCAGCCCUGUGGAGAGAUACAGUUGCUGGGGAACUGACACCUCCCACAAACUUGCCAGCCAUGUGAAUGAGCCAUCUUGGAAGUGGAUCCUCCAGCUCCAGUCAAGCCUUAAGAUUAACUGAACUGUACUCCCAGCCAACAUCUUCACUACAACCUCAUUAGAGACACUGAGCUGGAACCACAUGACAAUACUAUUGACCUCAUAAGUUAAUAAAGAGCUGCUCUUGAAUUUCUGACCCACAGGAACUGUGUGAGAUAAUAAAUGUUUAUUAUUGUUUUAA